rnacentral:rRNA from 1 species
GGGGAAUAUUGCACAAUGGGCGAAAGCCUGAUGCAGCAACGCCGCGUGAAGGAAGAAGGGUUUCGGCUCGUAAACUUCUAUCAACAGGGACGAAAAAAAUGACGGUACCUGAAUAAGAAGCCCCGGCUAACUACGUGCCAGCAGCCGCGGUAAUACGUAGGGGGCAAGCGUUAUCCGGAAUUACUGGGUGUAAAGGGUGAGUAGGCGGCAUGGUAAGUUAGAUGUGAAAGCCCGAGGCUUAACCUCGGGAUUGCAUUUAAAACUAUCAAGCUAGAGUACAGGAGAGGAAAGCGGAAUUCCUAGUGUAGCGGUGAAAUGCGUAGAUAUUAGGAAGAACACCAGUGGCGAAGGCGGCUUUCUGGACUGAAACUGACGCUGAGGCACGAAAGCGUGGGGAGCGAACA